GCCCGCAUAGCUCAGUCGGCAGAGCAUCAGACUUUUAAUCUGAGGGUCGCGGGUUCAAGUCCCUCUGCGGGCG
rnacentral:tRNA from 1 species